GGAGCCUAAGUUUUUGAAAAAUGGCGAUGCUGGUUUUGUCAAGAUGAUUCCAACAAAGCCCAUGGUCGUGGAGACCUUCUCUGGGUACCCUCCCUUGGGUCGUUUUGCUGUCAGAGACAUGCGCCAGACUGUUGCCGUUGGUGUGAUCAAGAGUGUUGAGAAGAAAGACCCAACUGGAGCUAAGGUUACCAAGUCUGCUGUCAAGAAGGGAGGGAAGUGAACUGCGCAGUUCAAAAGUUUUAAUUAUGUGGUGAAAAUUUUAUGUUACUAUUCUAGGUUUUUGAGAUGUUAUAAUUGUAUUGUGUUUUUGAUCUUUCGGUGUCCAUUUUCUAGUUGCAGCACCCAGAAUUGGGUGCAAGACAAGCGGUGGCAUCACAUUUAAUAUUUUCUGAGAUUUUGGUUUGUAGCACAUUUUGAGGUGUUACUAAGGAUAUGUUCGAGACUCUUUUUUUUGUUUUUUCGGGAAUUUUAGCCCCGCUAUUUCAUGGAGGUUGUUGCGAGAGCUUGAGGCUAUUUACCCUUUUUCGCGAUUGGGUGCAGCAUUUUCGAAAUAUUUAUUAUUGUCAUCCUAGCCAAUUGGCCUGUGAAUGAUCUUCUUCGGAUGGUUGUUGCAUGAUUCAGUUUACGACGGAAAAAUUAGAUUAAUGGUAGUAUUAUUUUAAUAUUUGU
rnacentral:misc_RNA from 1 species